ensembl:snoRNA LOC120096809 small nucleolar RNA SNORA17
UAUGCCCCUAGAGGUGUGGCACCUGUGGCUGUUCUGUCACAUGUGCAUCAAGGAGGUGGCAGAGAGGAGAGAGACUAUGUCUACAUUCAGUGUUCUGACCUUUGAACAGCUGACUGAUAAGAAGCAAA